rnacentral:rRNA from 1 species
UACGUAGGGUGCAAGCGUUAUCCGGAAUUAUUGGGCGUAAAGAGCUCGUAGGCGGUUUGUCGCGUCUGCUGUGAAAACUGGAGGCUCAACCUCCAGCCUGCAGUGGGUACGGGCAAACUAGAGUGCGGAAGGGGCAAUCGGAAUUCUUGGUGUAGCGGUGAAAUGCGUAGAUAUCAAGAGGAACACCUGAGGUGAAGACGGGUUGCUGGGCCGACACUGACGCUGAGUGCGCGAAAGCCAGGGGAGCAAACGGG